CAAGGCAUAGCUCAGUGGUAGAGCAUAUGCUUAGCAUGCAUGAGGUCCUGGGUUCAAUCCCCAGUACCUCCA
rnacentral:tRNA from 1 species